rnacentral:rRNA from 1 species
AGCUCUCCGAGUGGUGUGGACGUUUAUUGGGCCUAAAGCAUCCGUAGCUGGCUGAACAAGUCCCCUGUUAAACCCAACGAUUUAAUCGUUGGUCUGCGGGGGAUACUGCUCGGCUAGGGGACGAGAGAGGCAGACGGUAUUUCCGGGGUAGGGGUGAAAUCCUAUAAUCCCGGGAGGACCACCAGUGGCGAAGGCUGUCUGCUAGAACGCGCCCGACGGUGAGGGAUGAAAGCUGGGGGAGCGAACCG